GGGGGUAACAUGGUGGAUGUUAUUAUAGGAUCCCAUCAGAACUCCGAAGUUAAGCGUGCUUGGGCGAGAGUAGUACUAGGAUGGGUGACCUCCUGGGAAGUCCUCAAGUUGCAUUCC
rnacentral:rRNA from 18 species